GGAUGAGUUCACUGAAUGACUAUCAGGAUAACAAUGUUACCAUCAGGUGUCAGGAUAGAUCGCGAGAUGCUGUGAGAUCGCGAGAUUCAGUGAGAGUGACGAAAUUCAACAUGGCGGCUCCCAGCUGCUAGAUGAGAAGUAAACAAAUCGCCGUUAUCUCGACGUAUUUGUAUUAAAAAUAAAUAAAUAAAUAAAACAACAACUAACUAAAUAGCCUACUCAAGAUCGGAAACGGUAGUGCUCACAGUGGAGGACCUUGAGAACUUUAUUGACGACUACUUCGUCCGGUGCACCAUGGAAGACGCCAACCCGAGCAAGAGGAAGAAGGCAGACUCCUCGACGGACACACAAGACUUGGAGGUCACGGAUAUCCAGGUAAGUGUUCUCGAAUCAAUUAAUAAGAAGCUCGAUAUCCUUAGCUUGCUUCACCAGGAGAUAAAAGACCUGAAAGCAAGCCUGGAGUUCACCCACCAGCAGAUAGAGGAUCUGCAGAGGGACAACACCGAACUCCGGUCCACGCUGACAGCGGUCACUUCAGAGGUGGAUACACUUAAAAAAGAAAACAAAACCCUGAGGGAGACCGUCCUGGACAUCCAGUCGAGGAGCAUGCGGGACAACCUAAUCUUUUCUGGUAUCCCUGAGUCCACACCGGAUAACCCAGAGACCCUUGUUAAAAACUUCAUGGUGUCGGCACUUAAAAUCCCUGCGGAAACUGUUAAAAACAUCACUUUCCACCACGUCCACCGGCUCGGACCCCGAGGAGGAAACCGUCACCGUCCUAUCAUUGCAAAGUUCGAGCACUUCCAGCAGAAAGUGCUCGUAAGAAGCAAAGGACGGGAGCUGAAAGGCACGUCGUUCGGGAUGAACGACCAGUUUCCCAGGGAAAUCAACGAGAGGCGCAAAGUAUUAUACCCCAUCAUGAAAGAACACAGACAGAAAGAGUUCAACAAUCUGACUUCAAAGAAGAAGAAGAUUUAAUGGAUGCAUCUCGUCCCGUCACCAGAUUUUGGGUGAGUGAAGUUUCACCUGAUUCAGCUUUUGUUGGCUGCAGCUGUUGGAGGUUAAAGGUCACGCUCAGACUAAAUCUACUGCUCAGGUUUCUGCUGUU
ensembl:lncRNA